rnacentral:rRNA from 1 species
UACGAAGGGGGCUAGCGUUGUUCGGAUUUACUGGGCGUAAAGGGCGCGUAGGCGGCGUGGUAAGUCAGUUGUGAAAUCUCCGAGCUUAACUCGGAACGGCCAACUGAUACUGCUGUGCUAGAGUGCAGAAGGGGCAAUCAGAAUUCUUGGUGUAGCGGUGAAAAUGCGUAGAUAUCAAGAGGAAUACCAGAGGUGAAGACGGGUUGCUAGGCUGACACUGACGCUGAGGCGCGAAAGCCAGGGGAGCAAACGGG